rnacentral:rRNA from 1 species
AGAAUCAACGCUGGCGGCGUGCCUAACACAUGCAAGUCGCACGAGAAAGUGGAGCAAUCCACGAGUAAAGUGGCGCACGGGUGAGUAACACGUGAAUAAUCUACCUCCGAGUGGGGAAUAACUGAGAGAAAUCUUAGCUAAUACCGCAUAACACUUACGAGUCAAAGCAGCAAUGCGCUUGGAGAGGAGUUCGCGGCAGAUUAGUUAGUUGGCGGGGUAAUGGCCCACCAAGACGAUGAUCUGUA